UACAGAGGUGGCAAGCGUUGUUCGGAAUUACUGGGCGUAAAGGGCGCGUAGGCGGUUGGAUAAGUCAGCUGUGAAAACCACGAGCUCAACUUGUGGCCUGCAGUUGAAACUGUCUGGCUAGAGUGUGGGAGAGGGAAGUGGAAUUCCUGGUGUAGUGGUGAAAUGCGUAGAUAUCAGGAGGAACACCGGUGGCGAAGGCGGCUUCCUGGACCACAACUGACGCUGAGGCGCGAAAGCUAGGGGAGCAAACAGG
rnacentral:rRNA from 1 species